AACCAACAGGGAUUGCCUUAGUAACGGCGAGUGAAGCGGCAAAAGCUCAAAUUUGAAAUCUGGCACCUUCGGUGUCCGAGUUGUAAUUUGAAGAAGGUAACUUUGGAGUUGGCUCUUGUCUAUGUUCCUUGGAACAGGACGUCACAGAGGGUGAGAAUCCCGUGCGAUGAGAUGCCCAAUUCUAUGUAAAGUGCUUUCGAAGAGUCGAGUUGUUUGGGAAUGCAGCUCUAAGUGGGUGGUAAAUUCCAUCUAAAGCUAAAUAUUGGCGAGAGACCGAUAGCGAACAAGUACAGUGAUGGAAAGAUGAAAAGAACUUUGAAAAGAGAGUGAAAAAGUACGUGAAAUUGUUGAAAGGGAAGGGCUUGAGAUCAGACUUGGUAUUUUGCGAUCCUUUCCUUCUUGGUUGGGUUCCUCGCAGCUUACUGGGCCAGCAUCGGUUUGGAUGGUAGGAUAAUGACUAAGGAAUGUGGCUCUACUUCGGUGGAGUGUUAUAGCCUUGGUUGAUACUGCCUGUCUAGACCGAGGACUGCGUCUUUUGACUAGGAUGUUGGCAUAAUGAUCUU
rnacentral:rRNA from 1 species